AGGAAUUUCUUAACAAAGGAACUCAUCAGCUAUUGUUGGUGCGACACCAAUUCAAGGUUGCCUUUUUCAAUGAGCUAAGACAAGACCCUCACUCUGCUAUCAAGCACUACAGGCAAGCAUACAGUCUUCUUGGAGAAAUCAAGACAACUGACAUAAACAUACUAGAGAUCAAAGUUGUUGCUGG